GGGGAAUUUUGGACAAUGGGCGCAAGCCUGAUCCAGCAAUGCCGCGUGCAGGAUGAAGGCCUUCGGGUUGUAAACUGCUUUUGUACGGAGCGAAACGGUCUACCCUAAUACGGUGGGCUAAUGACGGUACCGUAAGAAUAAGCACCGGCUAACUACGUGCCAGCAGCCGCGGUAAUACGUAGGGUGCGAGCGUUAAUCGGAAUUACUGGGCGUAAAGCGUGCGCAGGCGGUUAUAUAAGACAGAUGUGAAAUCCCCGGGCUCAACCUGGGACCUGCAUUUGUGACUGUAUAGCUAGAGUACGGUAGAGGGGGAUGGAAUUCCGCGUGUAGCAGUGAAAUGCGUAGAUAUGCGGAGGAACACCGAUGGCGAAGGCAAUCCCCUGGACCUGUACUGACGCUCAUGCACGAAAGCGUGGGGAGCAAAC
rnacentral:rRNA from 1 species